GAUGAACGCUAGCGGCAGGCCUAAUACAUGCAAGUCGAACGGUGUCUUCGGACAUAGUGGCGCACGGGCGCGUAACACGUAUGCAACCUACCUUACAUUGGGUGAUAGCCUUUCGAAAGGGAGAUUAAUACCGCAUAAGACAGUAGCUGGGCAUCCAGCAGCUGUUAAAGAUUUAGCGAGGUAAGAUGGGCAUGCGUCCAAUUAGCUAGUUGGUGAGGUAACGGCUCACCAAGGCAAUGAUUGGUAGGGGAACUGAGAGGUCAAUCCCCCACACUGGCACUGAGAUACGGGCCAGACUCCUACGGGAGGCAGCAGUAGGGAAUAUUGGGCAAUGGACGCAAGUCUGACCCAGCCAUGCCGCGUGCAGGAUGAAGGCGUUAUGCGUUGUAAACUGCUUUUAUACAGGAAGAAACGACUCUUGCGAGAGGCAUUGACGGUACUGUAUGAAUAAGCACCGGCUAACUCCGUGCCAGCCGCCGCGGUAAAAC
rnacentral:rRNA from 1 species